UUCUUAUCAAGAGAAGUGGAGGAACUGGUCCUGUGAAGCUUCAGCAACCACCAACGUCAGUUGGCCGGUGCUAAUUCCAGCAAGUGGUAAACACUUGAAAGAUAAGAA
rnacentral:ncRNA from 1 species